rnacentral:rRNA from 1 species
UACGUAGGGUGCAAGCGUUGUCCGGAAUUAUUGGGCGUAAAGAGCGUGUAGGCGGCCCGAUUAGUCCGCUGUGAAAGUCCAGGGCUCAACCCUGGGAUGCCGGUGGAUACUGUCGGGCUCGAGUCCGGAAGAGGCGAGUGGAAUUCCUGGUGUAGCGGUGAAAUGCGCAGAUAUCAGGAGGAACACCAAUGGCGAAGGCAGCUCGCUGGGACGUGACUGACGCUGAGACGCGAAAGCGUGGGGAGCAAACAGG